AGUAUGUUCAAGCAGAUGCUCCUACCAAUAAAACACUGGCUGGGCUGGUGGUGCAGCUGCUGCAAUUCCAGGAAGAUGCCUUUGGAAAACACGUCACCAAUCCUGCCUUCACAAAGCUUCCUGCAAAGUGCUUCAUGGAUUUCAAAGCUGGAGGUACAUUGUGUCACAUUCUUGGUGCUGCUUACAAAUAUAAGAAUGAACAGGGCUGGCGGAGGUUUGACCUGCAGAAUCCAUCCCGAAUGGAUCGAAACGUGGAGAUGUUCAUGAACAUUGAGAAAACACUAGUGCAGG